GAUGAACGCUGGCGGCGUGCCUAACACAUGCAAGUCGAGCGAACCCUUCGGGGUGAGCGGCGGACGGGUGAGUAACGCGUGGGUAACCUGCCCUAUACACACGGAUAACGUACCGAAGGGUACGCUAAUACGAGAUAAAGUUGUUGGAUGGCAUCUUCUAACAAUCAAAGCUCCGGCGGUAUAGGAUGGACCCGCGUCUGAUUAGCUAGUUGGUGAGGUAAUGGCUCACCAAGGCGACGAUCAGUAGCCGACCUGAGAGGGUGAUCGGCCACACUGGAACUGAGACACGGUCCAGACUCCUACGGGAGGCAGCAGUGGGGAAUAUUGCACAAUGGGCGAAAGCCCGAUGCAGCAACGCCGCGUGAGCGAUGAAGGUCUUCGGAUCGUAAAGCUCUGUCCUCAAGGAAGAUAAUGACGGUACUUGAGGAGGAAGCCCCGGCUAACUACGUGCCAGCCGCCGCGGUAA
rnacentral:rRNA from 1 species